GGACCCUACUGCUAUCGGGAUGAGACUAAAACAUGCUAGUUGUGCGCUCCCUAGCCACGUUGGGAGCGCAGCGAACGGCUCCGUAACACGUAGUCAAUCUGCCCUUAGGACGGGGAUAACCCCGGGAAACUGGGGCUAAUACCUGAUAGGCGGAAAAGCCUGGAAUGGCCUUCCACCUAAAGGGUCUUAGGAACAUGCUCCUAAGGCUGCCUAAGGAUGAGACUGCGGCCGAUCAGGUUGUUGGUGGGGUAACGGCCUACCAAGCCUAUAACCGGUACGGGCCCUGAGAGGGGGAGCCCGGAGAUGGGAACUGAGAUAAGGGCCCAGGCCCUACGGGGCGCAGCAGUCGCGCAAACUCCGCAAUGCACGAAAGUGUGACGGGGCUAUCCCGAGUGCCGUCCGCUGAGGAUGGCUUUUCCACGCUGUAAGGAGGCGUGGGAAUAAGAAGAGGGCAAGACUGGUGUCAGCCGCCGCGGUAAUACCAGCUCUCCGAGUGGUGGGGAUGCUUAUUGGGCCUAAAGCAUUCGUAGCCGGUUCGGCAAGUCCUCCGUUAAAUCCAGCGAUUCAAUCGUUGGACUGCGGGGGAUACUGCUGGGCUAGGGGGCGGGAGAGGCCGACGGUAUCCUCGGGGUAGGGGUGAAAUCCUAUAAUCCCGGGUAGACCACCAGUGGCGAAGGCUGUCGGCUAGAACGCGCCCGACGGUGAGGGAUGAAAGCUGGGGGAGCGAACCGGAUUAGAUACCCGGGUAGUCCCAGCUGUAAACGAUGCAGGCUAGGUGUUGGAGCGGCUACGAGCCGCUUCGGUGCCGCAGGGAAACCGUUAAGCCUGCCGCCUGGGGAGUACGGCCGCAAGGCUGAAACUUAA
rnacentral:rRNA from 1 species